UACGGAGGGUGCAAGCGUUGUCCGGAUUUAUUGGGUUUAAAGGGUGCGUAGGCGGCUUAUUAAGUCAGGGGUGAAAGACUGCAGCUCAACUGUAGCAGUGCCUUUGAUACUGAUGAGCUUGAGUACAGAUGAGGCUGGCGGAACGGGUGGUGUAGCGGUGAAAUGCAUAGAUACCAUCCAGAACACCGAUUGCGAAGGCAGCCGGCUAAACUGUAACUGACGCUGAGGCACGAAAGCGUGGGGAUCGAACAGG
rnacentral:rRNA from 1 species